rnacentral:miRNA from 10 species
AGUGCAAAUCAGAAACCCUUGG